rnacentral:rRNA from 1 species
UACAGAGGGUGCGAACGUUGCCCGGAAUUACUGGGCGUAAAGCGCGUGUAGGCGGGUCGGCAAGUCAGGCGUGAAAUCCCCAGGCUCAACCUGGGAACUGCGCUUGAAACUGCCGGUCUUGAGUAUCGGAGAGGGUGGCGGAAUUCCUGGUGUAGAGGUGAAAUUCGUAGAUAUCAGGAGGAACACCGGUGGCGAAGGCGGCCACCUGGACGAUUACUGACGCUGAGACGCGAAAGCGUGGGGAGCAAACAGG